rnacentral:lncRNA from 1 species
UUACCUCCAGAGAAAGGCAGCUACUGAAUAUUCCCGAGAGCUUUGCCUUCAAUGUCCCUCCCUCACAACAAGCCACAUUCACCCCUGUUUUCCCAGGAUGUCCUCCAAGAACUGCAGUCAGGUUUGGCCCAGAUUCCUAUGGAGACCUUGCUCUGCUCUGGGACCCAGUGCACAUGAAAGUCCAUGUGUGCCUUUUAAGAAUGGGGUCUCUGUUUCCCCCAGUCCUGUGGAGCUCCUGUGCACAAGCCCCAUUGGCCUUCAAUGCCAGAUGUUCCAGGGGCUCUUUCUCCCAGUGCCGGAUCCCAGCACGUGAGGGUUUGAUGUGGGGCUCAGAGCUCUCACUCCUGUAGGUGAGUCUCUCUCUGUGAACCAGUUAGUUUUCAGUCUGUGGAGCUUCCCACCCAGGAGGUAUGGGGUUGUUUAUAUCACGAAAUCACCCCUCCUACUUCUUGAUGUGGUCUCUUCUUUUUCUUCUGGAGUAGGGUAUCUUUUUAAGGUUUCUGGUCCAUUUGGGUGGGGAUUGCUCAGCUUUUAGUUGUGAAUUUUGUUUUUUUUUUUUAGGAGAGAAGUUGCACUCCAGUCCUUCUAUUCUGCCAUCUUAAUCCUCUCUCCUCCGUUUUUACCUAAUUUUUUUGUGAGUGGCAUAAAAUUGGGUCUAGUUUUAUUUUUUUGCUUGUAAAUAUACAGUUUUUCCAAUACUGCUUAUUGGAAAGACUUUAUUUUCAUCACUGAAUAUUGUAGGCUCCCUUCUUAAAUAUGGAUUUAUUUCUGGGCUCUCUAUUCCUUUGGUCUGUGAAUCUGUUUAUGUGUCUGUGCUAUACUCUUUUGAUUACUAUAGCUUUGUAGUAUAGAUUGAAAUCAGAUAGUGUGAUGCCACCAGCUUUAUUCUUCUUUCUCAAGAUUGCUUUGACUAUUCAGAGUCUUUUGUUGUUUUAUAAUAAUUUUAGAAUUUUUUAUCUAUUUCUGUGAAAAGUGCCAUUAAAAUUUUGGCAGAGACUGCACUGAAUAUCUAGAUGUCCUUGGGUAGGAUAGACAUUUUAACAGUAUUACUUCUGAUCCAUGAACACAGAAUAUUUUUCCAUUUAUUUGUGCCUUAAAUUUUUUUCAUCAAAGUCAUAGUUUUCGGUAAAUGGAUCUUUUACUCCUUUAGUUAAAUUCAUUCCUAAGUAUUUUGUUCUUUUUGAUAUAAUUGUAAAUGAAGUAUUUUAUGUCUUUUUCAGAUAUUUCAUUUUUAGUGUGUUAAAAUGCAACUGAUUUUUGCAUGUUGACUUUGUAUCCUCCAAAAUUACUGAAUUCAUUUAUUAGAUUUAUUUGUUUUUUUUUUCAUGGGGUCUUUAGGGUUUUCUAUAUAUAAGAUCAUGCCAUUUACAGAAUCAGUUUUAAUUUUUUCCUUUCCAAUUUGGUGGCCUUUUGUUUCUUUUUCUUGCCUAAUUGCUCUGGCUGGGACUUCUAUUAAUAUAUUGAAGAGGGAUUGUGAAAGUGAAAAUCUGUCUUAUUCUUGAUUUUCGAGGAGAAACUUUCAGCUUUUCACUAUUAAGUAUGAUAUUAGUUGUGGGUUUGUCAUAUAUGGCUUUUAUUAUUCUGAUAUUCCUUCUAUGUCCAUUUCAUUGAGAGCUUCUAUCAUGCAAGAAUGUUGAAUUUUGUCAAAUCUCUUUCAUGCGUCUAUUGAGAGGAUCAUAUAUGUAUAUAUUUUUUUUAGUUAAAGUAGAGUUGAUUUAUAAUAUUGUAUUACUUUUAGGGGUACAGCAAAAUGAUUCAUAUAUAUAUGUAUACACACAUAUAUACAUGUAAUUCUGGCUUAUAUAUGAUUUAAUUUGAACUUUAGGCUAAACUAAAGUUACAUUUAUGGCCUAUUAUACAUAGUACAUUUUCUUUAGUAAUUAAAAAAUACAUAAAAAAUCAAAGACUAGUACAAAAAUAUAUAUUGAGUAUUAUCCUCAUUGUAAGAUGUGUAUUAAUUUUCAAAUGUUUGUCCAGGUACUAUGACAAAGCAAUCAGAGAGAAGAAGUGUUUUCAUAACAUAAAAUAUUGAUACUAAGCUUAGGAAGGACUACAUCCCAUUUCAACAGGAAGUGGCCAGAGUGGUUAUUGCCCUGUGCUCUCCAAUAGUUGGGGAAAAUUGAAGCAGAAAUGGAAAUUAAAAACCAAGUUCCUCUGCCAAGAUUAUGAUUAACCCUUCUAUCCAAAAACUUUAUUCCUGUUCUUGUUCUGUACCUGUCCCACCUCGGGAUUGAGGAGCAUCGAAGAAAAGGGGGGAUUGAAACAGAGCAGGACCCUGUGGCCCUCCCUGCCACCUUAUGUCCUCUGCUUGCAUUUUGUUUGUAGAAAAACUUUAGUCAAAUGUUAAAUUUAUUCAGAGAAAUGACACAAUGCAGAAGCAAGGGAAAAGCAGUCCGAAUAGGACAAAAUAGUAACAGUUCAGUCAUUAAGCGGAAUCAAGGACCUUUAGUUCCUCCUCAAGGGCUAUAGGUCAUAUUUUGAGCCAUGUCUUGUCAGCUGUCUUGUAGAGACUGAAACCCCCACCAAGUGGAAGAAAUUAACAGCAUGAUGACCAGACUAUAGCCAGGACAUGAGCUGCCACAAUUUCAAGAACUGACCUCAAAGAAAUGGGAACAAACCAACCCUGAAACUGAAGAUUAACUGUACUUAAAACAAUCAAGGUGAUGCUGGUUAGACACUGCAUGACCAAUUUCAAGGUGACUGUCAGAGCACUGUUCUGCAUGUAGCUCCUUCCCUGCACCUGCAAAAACUCUUGUCCACUGGUUUUUUGGGGAUGGGGAGUUGGCCUUUAGACAGGAGUCUGCCCUCUCCCUGCUUGUUGUCAGUCUCCAAAAUAAAGCAACCUUUCCUUUCCAUCAAGCUUGCCUCAAGUAUUCGCUUUAGAGCCACUUUGGGUACCAAACAUAUUGAGAAUAGUGCCAGCAAAAAGGAAAGUGCAUGGGUCUUAGCAGUCAGUGUUGAACCUUUCACAUUGUACCAAGUAUAGCUUGGCUCUGCUGAUUUUUAUGUAGGACAGUAAAUUCCUUACCAUUUAACCCAAGUCUAGUAGUAUGUCCUGCAACUCAUACCCAGUGGCAUCCUAAAUGGUACCACCUGCUUUUAGGAUGAUUGCAGGCUCGCCCCAAGAUUACUAAAGAGUAUUUAUUUCCCAAUUGGCUUCAAAUAUUUUGUGUUUUCCCCCAGGAAACAGAACCUCAGAGUGUCUAGGAGGAAAAAGAUGUGAAAAAGACACUGAACAUUUACUACAAUAUUUAAUUGUUCACAACAAAACUUCUCAUAAGUUCCUUGCUUAGGAAGAAUUAGAAAUUUUAACAGAAUACAGAGCAAACACUUCUGGUUUGUUGUAGACAGCUAUGGUGAAUUAACUCUAUCAUCCUAUAUAUAAAGUCCUCUCUAUUCUUGCGUUUUAAUAAGAAUCAAUAAAAAUUUUUCUUGUCUUCAUGAACAUAUGAGUUAAAAAUGCCUCAAGCCAAAAGUAAACUUAGAGAAAUGGAAUAUGGACGUAGCUGUUGUAUGGUGGUUAAAACCAAGGUUCCUGGAGGCACAUCAUCUCUUUUUAUAAUCCUGGUUUAGCCUCUUCUAUGUAUAUAGUAAUGGGGAAGUAACAACUCAAACUGUUUUCUCAUUUUUAAAUGGAAUGAUAACAGUAGUACCUGGUGUAAGUGUGGUUAUUUAUAUAUAAAAUAUCCCUUAGAUAAUCAGUUAUAUUUUCAGCUACUAUAAUUUCAUCUAUUUUUUUGUCUAUUCAUCAAACCAAGAUUAGAUCCUUCAAGAAAUGUUUGUAAAAUUCAUACAUUCCAGAAAUACAAUUUUCUCUAUUUGUCUAAGCCUUUAUAUCUUGUACACACCAACUUGAUCUUUUACUUCACAGCUAAUUUUUUUUUUUUUUUUUUUUAGGCAAGGAAAUUGAUAUCAACACCAGAAGCUCAAUAAUUUGGAUAGGACAAACCAAGUUCUUUGAUGAGCCAAUUUCUCCUUGGCCUGGACCAUUCUUCAUUUGAGAUUUCAAAGUGAGAAGGAAAAAAAAUAGUGAUAAGAAAUGAUGGAGGAAAGAAAAGCCAGGUAGGGAUUUUGUUGAACUAACUUCAAUUAGAAUUAAGGUAGUCAUUAGGGAUUCCCCAUCAAAUUGAUGAGACUCUGGAGUUAAAUAUUGGUCAAUAUUUUUUUCUCUGCUCUCUAGAAUUAGGUACAAAUAUAACCCUAUAUGAUUGUGCUUUACUUUGCUUAAAAAGAAGUCAUCCAAAGAUAACACUCUUUGUUUUGAAACUUUCAAUUUCUCUUUUUACCCAGGUAUUUUGUCAUAUUUAUGGACUUUUAGUGUUCCUCUGAUUCACUAAUGGUGAGUUUAGGGUAUAAUUCAACGAUAUGGGAUUCAACCCUGGGACAGGAUGCAGAAUAAAACCUGGCCCUAAUACAGCACAUGUAUUUAUGGUGAGUGUUAUAGCUGUGGGCUAUGGAGAGUUCACCAAAAAAAAAAAUAUUUAAUGAAACCUUGGUGGCUAAACUGGGACAGAAGUCAGACUUCUUUCUAAAUAAUUCUUCCACUACUUUUGAAAAGAAACAUAUGCUACUUUGGAGAAAGAAACAAGAUUCAUGCUAAGGGGAUUGUUAUGAAACUUUGUAAUAGAGGGCGUUUUGAAACUUCUGAAAAUCUUGGUCAAAAAUAUAUGCCUUUAAGUCGAGGUACAAACAUCUCUGCCCUUGGCCUUGAUUUAGUAGGUAUUAUAACAUCAAAAAUAUCAUAAGUUUCUGUCAUCCAAGUAUUUGUGUUCUCAGCCUUCUUGCUACUCAAAAUGUGGUCUUAAGAACCUGCAUUGUCAUCACCCAGGAGUUGGUUAGAAAUGCUGGUAUCACUCCAGACAUACUAUAUCAGAAACUGAAUUUUUAUACACUCUCCAAGUCACUUGAAUAUACCUUUGGCAACACUGGCCUAUAUUAACAUAGCCCUCCAAGGGGUCAGUUACUCAGUAGGGAGUCAGCCUUGGUACCCAUGCAUAGACAGAUUAGACAGAGGUUUCAUAAGCAAAGGAGAAGUGAUGGAUAAGCUAGGUGAUUCUGAAAAGGUUUUCCUGCCCAUCCCCUUGAUGAUGUACAUGUUGGAAGUGAGGCACAGCCUUGAGGAGGAACAGAAAUUCACGUUUCAAUGAUACAUUUAGGAGUUUCCAUCAUCGCUCAGUGGAAAUGAAUCUAACUAGUAUCCAUGAGGAUGCAGGUUCGAUCCCUGGCCUCACUCAGUGAGUUAAGGAUCCAGCACUGCUAUGAGCUGUUGUGUAGGUCGUAGGUGUGGCUUGGAUCUGGUGUUGCUGUGGCUGCGGGGUAGGUCUGCAGCUACUGCUCCAAUUUUACCCCUAGUCUGGGAACCCCCACAUGCCACAGAUGCAGCCCUAAAAAGACCAAAAAAAAAAAAAA